CUCCUGCAACUCCACCACCCAAAACUCGGCAUUCCCCUACACCCCAGCAGUCAAACCGUACAAGAAAAAGUCGUGUUUCUGUGUCUCCAGGGAGAACUUCAGUGACAAAACAUAAAGGUACUGAGAAAAGAGAAUCCCCUUCACCAGCACCGAAGCCUAGAAAAGUAGAGUUAUCUGAAUCGGAAGAAGAUAAAGGUGGCAAAAUGGCUGCAGCAGAUUCUGUGCAGCAGAGACGCCAAUACAGACGACAAAACCAGCAGUCUUCAUCUGACUCUGGCUCCUCCUCCUCCUCAGAAGAUGAACGACCCAAGAGAUCCCAUGUGAAGAAUGGUGAGGUUGGCAGGCGGCGGAGACAUUCCCCUUCCCGGAGUGCUUCUCCAUCACCACGAAAGCGCCAAAAAGAGACUUCCCCUCGGUAACAUCUUUGCUUCAGUGAUGUUCACUGAUGUUCUGUAAUUGUGAUGAAAUUUGAUAACUUGGGAUUAUUUGAGAAUUUGGUUAACUCCUUCAAGUAUUUGGAUGUGGUUGGAUUUUUGUUUGCUUUUUAGGGUUUCUGUUUUGUUUUGUUUUUGCUUUAUUGGUGGUUAUUAAUAAUUAAUUUAGAAUUGGUAAAUUUUAAACCACCAUGUCAUAUAUGUGUGCAUGAUUAGAAAAAUAAACCAAACUAUUAUAGCAGUAA
rnacentral:lncRNA from 10 species